AAACUAAAGAGUUUGAUCCUGGCUCAGAUUGAACGCUGGCGGCAUGCCUUACACAUGCAAGUCGAACGGUAACGCGGGGCAACCUGGCGACGAGUGGCGAACGGGUGAGUAAUAUAUCGGAACGUGCCCAAUUGUGGGGGAUAACGUAGAGAAAUUUACGCUAAUACCGCAUACGAUCUAAGGAUGAAAGCGGGGGAUCGCAAGACCUCGCGCAAUUGGAGCGGCUGAUAUCAGAUUAGCUUGUUGGUGAGGUAAAAGCUCACCAAGGCGACGAUCUGUAGCUGGUUUGAGAGAACGACCAGCCACACUGGGACUGAGACACGGCCCAGACUCCUACGGGAGGCAGCAGUGGGGAAUUUUGGACAAUGGGCGCAAGCCUGAUCCAGCAAUGCCGCGUGCAGGAAGAAGGCCUUCGGGUUGUAAACUGCUUUUGUA
rnacentral:rRNA from 1 species